AACGUAGGACGCAAGCGUUAUCCGGAGUUACUGGGCGUAAAGCGCGGGCAGGCGGUCUUGCCAGUCUGAUGUGAAAUCUCUCCGCUCAACGGGGAGCAGCCAUUGGAAACUACAAGACUGGAGUCUGACAGAGGUAGGCGGAAUUCCGGGUGGAGUGGUGAAAUGCGUAGAGAUCCGGAGGAACACCAGAGGCGAAGGCGGAUCUCUGGGCCUUACCUGACGCUGAGGCGCGAAAGCUAGGGGAGCGAACAGG
rnacentral:rRNA from 1 species